AAAUAGAUCUCAGUUCGGACUGUAGGCUGCAACUCGCCUACACGAAGUUGGAAUUGCUAGUAAUCGUGGAUCAGCAUGCCACGGUGAAUACGUUCCCGGGUCUUGUACACACCGCCCGUCACACCAUGGGAGCUGGUAACACCCGAAGUCAGUAGUCUAACCUCGUGAGGACGCUGCCGAAGGUAGGAUUGGCGACUGGGGUGAAGUCGUAACAAGGUAGC
rnacentral:rRNA from 1 species